rnacentral:rRNA from 1 species
UACGUAGGGUGCAGGCGUUAAUCGGAAUUACUGGGCGUAAAGCGUGCGCAGGCGGUUUGCUAAGACAGGUGUGAAAUCCCCGGGCUUAACCUGGGAACUGCGCUUGUAACUGGCAAGCUAGAGUGUGGCAGAGGGGGGUGGAAUUCCAGGUGUAGCAGUGAAAUGCGUAGAGAUCCGGAGGAACACCAGCGGCGAAGGCGGCAUCCUGGACUGGUCCUGACACUCAGGAGCGAAAGCGUGGGGAGCGAUCCGG